rnacentral:lncRNA from 1 species
UUUUUUAGAGGUCAACGCGAAAGGUUCUCCUGAAGUUUCACAGAAACCAGUCUUUGGGGACCCGAAGAUAACAGUGCCAGCGGAUGGGGGUGAAAAGCGGCAGCCAGCGGCUCACAAACACCUGAUCUGCCCCUGCGGCACCCUAGACCAGCGCAGUGCGCGGGCGGGGCAGAACACCGCCCGCGACGCUCCCCCGCCGCCCAGGCCCGCACCUCGUGCGCGGGGUACAGCGCGGCUCAGGGUGUCGCUGCCCUCUCCCUGUGGGUGCAGGAAGAGCGGAGGUCGAGCAGGUGAGAAGGUCAGGAAGGAGGUGGAGGCCGGGAGACUGGGGAGAAGGUGAGGAGGCUGUAAAGGAGGGGAGAAGGACCAGGAGGUGAGGAAGCCGGACAGGAGAACGGAGACCGGUGAGGAUAUCCGGGAGGUGGCCCAAGUUUGGGAAAGGCCGAACUCGAACCCUCCCGCCAGUUGGCGCCCAGGUCCCGCUGGGACUGCGCCCCCGGGCCCUUCCCGAGCUCUCCGCCCCUCGUAGCACUGAGAAAACCUAAGGCUUCACUGGAGCGCGCGGUGUCCAAAGAUUACAGUCUCCCCCGCUCCGCCAGGAAGUAGCCUCCCCCAGAAAAACAGCUGAGACUUGAGUCCCAAACCCUGCUGAGAUCCAGGGUCUAGUGUAAACUCUUCAGCUACCAGGGCGUGGCGCUUGGUGAGAAUUUGCCAGCCAGCACUGGCAUGUAGCUAAGUCUAGACGGCUCCGAGUGGCUUGUGAGCGGGAUCCACGAGGGGAGGUUAUGAAGCCAUCAAAGACACGAUGAGGUCUCCACGUGGUUCCACUCGGGUCUCAGGAAGUCAAGAAUGCAAGAUGCGGGAGGCGCUGGGUGCGGAGUUCGCUCGGCGACUUCAGAAGUUGGGCUUAGCAAGACAUCUGAACGCUGAACCCCCGUGAUGCCGCUGGACUGAGCACCAACCACACCCAAGCAUGGAUCACGCGGGACCCGGAACGGUCCCCCACCCCCAACCCAGCGCCUCCCCAGGCUCCCCAGAGCGCUACGUGCCAAGGCUGUCAGAUGGAGUUAGUCAAAGGGAUGCCAUUGACUUUCGAGCGCUGGAGAUUGAAUUUCAGCCAGCUCGACCAAGACCACGAAGUCUUACUUACAGCCGCAGAAAGAAGUAAGUGCGAGUUGUUUGGGUUGAGCGCAGAGCCACGUGUGUACGGUCAUCCACAAGAAGGAAUUCUGAGUCAGUGGUUCUGGAAAUGUUAAGAUUGACAAUCUGCAGACCGAUCUGUUCUUAUGUUUGUCACUACGUUCCCAAACAACAACAACAACUUGGAUUUUUAUAUGUUCACAUAAACUGUUAACCACUGUCACUCUGAACAAGAAAGGAAGAGAAAUUGUAUGCUUUUCUUGACUCUGAGGAAUUUUUUCCCACGAUUAUAUUUAUAAUUCAGAAAGCCAAUAAAAGAAGCAAAUUAGAAGUUAGGUCUGUGUACUUGAUUAACUGCAGACUGCCGUAUUGAUAUUUAAACGUUGUGACGAGACAAAGCUGGAUUCUUGGUGGGCAUUUUGUUAUUGUAUUUCCCCCUUAAAUGGCUC